UUAUUUGAGAGUUUGAUCCUGGCUCAGGAUGAACGCUGGCGGCGUGCUUAACACAUGCAAGUCGAACGGAGCUUAGAAGGAAGCUUGCUUUCAUUUAAGCUU
rnacentral:ncRNA from 1 species